UACGUAGGGGGCAAGCGUUGUCCGGAUUUAUUGGGCGUAAAGAGCGUGUAGGCGGCCAUGCAGGUCCGUUGUGAAAACUGGAGGCUUAACCUCCAGACGUCGAUGGAAACCGUAUGGCUAGAGUCCGGAAGAGGAGAGUGGAAUUCCUGGUGUAGCGGUGAAAUGCGCAGAUAUCAGGAAGAACACCCGUGGUGAAGGCGGCUCUCUGGCCGAAACUGACGCUGAGGAGCGAAAGCGUGGGGAGCGAACAGG
rnacentral:rRNA from 1 species